ACGGAAGGCAGCAGUGGGGAAUAUUGCACAAUGGGCGCCAGCCUGAUGCAGCGAUGCCGCGUGAGGGAAGAAGGUUUUCGGAUUGUAAACCUCUGUCAUCGGGGACGAUAAUGACUGUACCCGAGAAGGAAGCUCCGGCUAACUACGUGCCAGCAGCCGCGGUAAUAUGUAGGGAGCGAGCGUUAUCCGGAAUUACUGGGUGGAAAGGGAGUGUAGGCGGGACUGUAAGUCAGAUGUGAAAUAUGCCGGCUCAACUGGCAGACUGCAUUUGAAACUGCGGUUCUUGAGUGAAGUAGAGGUAAGCGGAAGUCCUAGUGUAGCGGUGAAAUGCGUAGAUAUUAGGAGGAACAUCAGUGGCGAAGGCGGCUUACUGGGCUUUAACUGACGCUGAGGCUCGAAAGCGUGGGGAGCAAACAGGAUUAGAUACCCUGGUA
rnacentral:rRNA from 1 species